rnacentral:rRNA from 1 species
UACAGGGGGGGGCAAGCGUUGUUCGGAAUUACUGGGCGUAAAGGGCGCGUAGGCGGCUUGGCAAGUGGAUGGUGAAAUCCCUCGGCUUAACCGAGGAACUGCCGUCCAAACUGCUUUGCUUGAGGCCGGGAGAGGUGAGUGGAAUUCCCAGUGUAGCGGUGAAAUGCGUAGAUAUUGGGAGGAACACCAGUGGCGAAGGCGGCUCACUGGACCGGUACUGACGCUGAUGCGCGAAAGCGUGGGGAGCAAACGGG